UACGUAGGGUGCGAGCGUUGUCCGGAAUUACUGGGCGUAAAGAGCUCGUAGGUGGUUUGUCGCGUUGUUCGUGAAAACCGGGGGCUUAACCCUCGGCGUGCGGGCGAUACGGGCAGACUUGAGUACUGCAGGGGAGACUGGAAUUCCUGGUGUAGCGGUGGAAUGCGCAGAUAUCAGGAGGAAUACCGGUGGCGAAGGCGGCAUCCUGGACCGACAUUGACGCUGAGGAGCGAAAGCUAGGGGAGCAAACGGG
rnacentral:rRNA from 1 species